CACGUAGGGUGCGAGCGUUGUCCGGAAUUAUUGGGCGUAAAGAGCUCGUAGGCGGUCUGUCGCGUCGGACGUGAAAACCCAGGGCUCAACCCUGGGCCUGCGUUCGAUACGGGCAGACUAGAGUUCGGUAGGGGAGACUGGAAUUCCUGGUGUAGCGGUGAAAUGCGCAGAUAUCAGGAGGAACACCGAUGGCGAAGGCAGGUCUCUGGGCCACUACUGACGCUGAGAAGCGAAAGCAUGGGGAGCGAACAGG
rnacentral:rRNA from 1 species